UACGUAGGGUGCAAGCGUUGUCCGGAAUUAUUGGGCGUAAAGAGCUCGUAGGCGGUUUGUCGCGUCUGCUGUGAAAACUCAGGGCUUAACUCUGAGCUUGCAGUGGGUACGGGCAGACUAGAGUGCGGUAGGGGAGACUGGAAUUCCUGGUGUAGCGGUGAAAUGCGCAGAUAUCAGGAGGAACACCGGUGGCGAAGGCGGGUCUCUGGGCCAUAACUGACGCUGGAGAAAGCGAAAAGCAUGGGGAGCGAACAGG
rnacentral:rRNA from 1 species